rnacentral:rRNA from 1 species
CUACGGGCGGCUCCAGUGGGGAAUAUUGGACAAUGGGCGCAAGCCUGAUCCAGCCAUGCCGCGUGGAUGAUGAAGGCCCUAGGGUUGUAAAGUCCUUUUAACGGGGAAGAUAAUGACGGUACCCGUAGAAUAAGCCCCGGCUAACUUCGUGCCAGCAGCCGCGGUAAUACGAAGGGGGCUAGCGUUGCUCGGAAUUACUGGGCGUAAAGCGCACGUAGGCGGCUCUUUAAGUCGGGGGUGAAAUCCUGGAGCUCAACUCCAGAACUGCCUUCGAUACUGAAGAGCUCGAGUCCGGGAGAGGUGAGUGGAACUGCGAGUGUAGAGGUGAAAUUCGUAGAUAUUCGCAAGAACACCAGUGGCGAAGGCGGCUCACUGGCCCGGUACUGACGCUGAGGUGCGAAAGCGUGGGGAGCAAACAGGAUUAGAUACCCCAGUAGUC